rnacentral:rRNA from 1 species
CCUACGGGUGGCAGCAGUGGGGAAUAUUGCACAAUGGGCGCAAGCCUGAUGCAGCGACGCCGCGUGCGGGAUGGAGGCCUUCGGGUUGUAAACCGCUUUUGUUAAAGGGCAAGGAACGGUCGUUGGCCGGGUUGCGUGGAGAGUUCGAAUAAGCAGAGACUAACUACGUGCAAGCAGCCGCGGUAAGCCGUAGGGUGCAAGCGUUAGCCGGAUUUAUGGGGCGUAAGGGGCGCGUAGGCGGUUCGUCGCGUCCGGUGUGAAAGUCCAUCGCUUAACGGUGGAUCCGCGCCGGGUACGGGCGGGCUUGAGUGCGGUAGGGGAGACUGGAAUUCCCGGUGUAACGGUGGAAUGUGUAGAUAUCGGGAAGAACACCAAUGGCGAAGGCAGGUCUCUGGGCCGUUACUGACGCUGAGGAGCGAAAGCGUGGGGAGCGAACAGGAUUAGAUACCCUUGUAGUC